UUUGGCGCUUGCUCGCUGGAUGCUCGCCUAACGAGUUUUGAUCUUUUUGGUUCUGUCCAAGUCUGGGAGUGUUCGCUGGCAUCUCGUUGCGUGCUCGCCUAGCGAAUACUUCACUACCUCACUCGCCUAGCGAGCUUGCUUAUGUUUGCUUUCUUUGUUGGUUCCUUUGCCAUCUUUCUUGUGCCUUAGUUUUCUACUCUUUCAUGCCUAAUUCCUGCACAAUAACACACAAAUUAAAGGU
rnacentral:lncRNA from 1 species